rnacentral:rRNA from 1 species
GACGAACGCUGGCGGCGUGCCUAAUACAUGCAAGUAGAACGCUGAAGGAGGAGCUUGCUUCUCUGGAUGAGCUGCGAACGGGUAAGUAACGCGUAGGUAACCUGCCUGGUAGCGGGGGAUAACUAUUGGAAACGAUAGCUAAUACCGCAUAAGAGUAGAUGUUGCAUGACAUUUGCUUAAAAGGUGCAAUUGCAUCACUACCAGAUGGACCUGCGUUGUAUUAGCUAGUUGGUGGGGUAACGGCUCACCAAGGCGACGAUACAUAGCCGACCUGAGAGGGCGAUCGGCCACACUGGGACUGAGACACGGCCCAGACUCCUACGGGAGGCAGCAGUAGGGAAUCUUCGGCAAUGGACGGAAGUCUGACCGAGCAACGCCGCGUGAGUGAAGAAGGUUUUCGGAUCGUAAAGCUCUGUUGUAAGAGAAGAACGAGUGUGAGAGUGGAAAGUUCACACUGUGACGGUAUCUUACCAGAAAGGGACGGCUAACUACGUGCCAGCAGCCGCGGUAAUACGUAGGUGGCAAGCGUUAUCCGGAUUUAUUGGGCGUAAAGAGAGUGCAGGCGGUUUUCUAAGUCUGAUGUGAAAGCCUUCGGCUUAACCGGAGAAGUGCAUCGGAAACUGGAUAACUUGAGUGCAGAAGAGGGUAGUGGAACUCCAUGUGUAGCGGUGGAAUGCGUAGAUAUAUGGAAGAACACCAGUGGCGAAGGCGGCUACCUGGUCUGCAACUGACGCUGAGACUCGAAAGCAUGGGUAGCGAACAGG